GCACUAGUGCAGAUCAGCACGGCGGUCACCAGCAGCUUGCGCCAGCAGCUCCGGUGUUCACAGCAAGGGGUGGCGGCCAGUGCCGGCGGCCGGCGGCCAGCAGCAGCUUUUUUGCAGGGGGUGCUCUCGGCAGCAGCAAACAGGAGGGCGAAUCAGACUAGCAGCUUGUGUCUUGCUUUUGUUUAUGAUUUGAUUUUGCAGGUCAUUAAUCACCGGAGCUUGUGCACGUGUUUUACUGAAUUAUUUCUUGGCCGGCUCCUAGGACAAGCAAUUUACUUCUGUAACUUCAUGAUACUUGUGUUUGUGUAUGUUCUGCUCUUGAUUGUGUGCAGGUUCCACUGAUCCCAGGCGACAGCAACGAUAGCAGCUCAGGGUGCAUGCCUGACGCACUAGGUGAGCAGCGACGGCACCAAGCAAGAAGCAUCUCGUCAGCAAGUUGUUAGUUCUUCUCAGUGUAGGAAUCGGCAGCAAGGUAAAUUCCUUCUUUGUUUAUUCAAGCAAUGGCUGCUCAGAUGGUUAAUUAUCCGUUAGCUUACUAGCCUUUUAUUUAGCUGGAAUUUGUGCUCAUGGUAAUUUUGCUCUUUAGUGCCUUGUGCUAGUUAGCUAUAUCUUUUAGUCUUUGCAUGCUUUAUUGAUCGAGGUAGAUUAGUGCAAGAGGUUGAUUAGUGCAAGUCCUUUUUUUGGUGAGACUCAUUAUUAGCUUUUUGGAUGAGCUUUGCUUUUGCUUACUUUGAGCUUUGCUAAUAUUUAUGAAAUCAUUAUAUGCUCAUUGAAGUAAGCUUUUUACGAGUCUAGUUUGAAAAGCUUUUUCGGCGCUUUGAUUUAUCGUCGCUUCCGCUUUCUAUUGUGCCUUGCUCGAGUAAAUAGCUUUUCACGUGCUUCCGCUUUGCGUCGAGAUUUUUCUAACCAUUCCUAGGGUGAGCUCGUCACAAGUUGGCUUGUGUCACCUUGGCGAUUAAAAGAGAGGUGCGUCGGGUUGAAUUCGGGAUAUAGGCCUUGUUUUCUUGGAGAAUUUUUAAAGGCUCCCAUUCACCCCCCCCCCCCUCCCCCUCUGAUCGCUUAUCUGGUCCUUCAAUUGGUAUCAAAGUCGGUUGGGAUCACUCCUUGCCCUAACCGGUCUCUGUGAUCCACAGGGCGACAACGGGAAGAUGCUUUUGCUUGCGGAUUUAAUUUUCACGAUUUGAGCUCGCUUUCACUAACACUAAUCGGUGCUUUCAGCAAUGGCACCAAGUUCCUCUAUUUGUGUGUCUUUUUUCACAGAUUUUGAUGAAAAUGUGAUUGCAACCGGAAAUGACCGCCAGUGGAGGAACAAGAGGAUUGAUCGAGCGGUAAUGAGACAAAAGCACCGUAAGCUUGCCAAGGUUAAGGAGCGUGCCUACGCUACCUCCCUCGACGACAUCAUUUGUGACUCCGACAAUGAUGAUGAUGAUGCUCCUUGUCCAAAUAAAGUUGUGAGUGAUCUUGAUGUGAUGGAUCAAGUGGAGCUCAAAUUGAAGGAUGGGCUUUCGAUCGUCGAUCCCUUACCCGAGCUUGACAAGGUACCGCACGGUCGUGCUUUUGCAUAGGGGAGAAAGGAGCGCCAUGUCUGCCGUUCCUGUUUCAGGUGACGUUGACCAAGAAUGAUUCAUCCUGCCAAUGGGCGCUAAAAACCGUUGGUAGAUAGUGCCUUCGGGACGGCCGGACACUACAAUAGCUUCAGAAAGCACAGUGACAAACACGGUAGUUAAUGGUCGCCUUCGAACAAGUGUCCGAAAAUGUAUUAAUUUUGUAUUCAAUAUCCCACCAAUGGACUGUUAUACGGGUAUUUAUAGGUGACUGUUUACUACCCUAUCUA